GUCUCCUCCUUGUCAGGACGUCCUCCCUUGCUCUGCUUCUCGGCCUUGUCGUUGGGGUCGUUGUCACGGCAACAGGACAGCAGGGGGUCACCUGCCGGCAGGAGAUCCCCGCCGCACUGAUCCAAGAACUGUGGAGCCGGACCAGAGUGCUGAUCAAUAAACUGCCGAAAGAAGAACGCUUCUCGCGCCAGACGAGACUUCUGCCAAAGUUCUGCACCAGAGGUCCGGAGAGUGCAAUUGGCUGGCUGGAGAUGCAGGAAGUGAUCGAUGUCUACCAGAGGAGUGUGUUCAGCAGGGAGGUCAUCCAGAAGCUCCUCCCCUUCCAUUACAAUGACCUGCUGUACAGACUGCAGCACACACUGCACCACUGUGUGAGUACACACACACACUGA
rnacentral:lncRNA from 1 species